UGGGGAAUAUUGGACAAUGGGCGCAAGCCUGAUCCAGCCAUGUCGCGUGAGUGAUGAAGGCCUUAGGGUUGUAAAGCUCUUUUAGCAGGGAAGAUAAUGACGGUACCUGCAGAAAAAGCCCCGGCUAACUUCGUGCCAGCAGCCGCGGUAAUACGAAGGGGGCUAGCGUUGCUCGGAAUUACUGGGCGUAAAGCGCACGUAGGCGGACUCUUAAGUCGGUGGUGAAAUCCUGGAGCUCAACUCCAGAACUGCCUUCGAUACUGGGAGUCUUGAGUUCGGGAGAGGUGAGUGGAACUGCGAGUGUAGAGGUGAAAUUCGUAGAUAUUCGCAAGAACACCAGUGGCGAAGGCGGCUCACUGGCCCGAUACUGACGCUGAGGUGCGAAAGCGUGGGGAGCAAACA
rnacentral:rRNA from 1 species